GUGGGGAAUAUUGGACAAUGGGCGAAAGCCUGAUCCAGCCAUGCCGCGUGUGUGAAGAAGGUCUUCGGAUUGUAAAGCACUUUAAGUUGGGAGGAAGGGCAGUAAGUUAAUACCUUGCUGUUUUGACGUUACCGACAGAAUAAGCACCGGCUAACUUCGUGCCAGCAGCCGCGGUAAUACGAAGGGUGCAAGCGUUAAUCGGAAUUACUGGGCGUAAAGCGCGCGUAGGUGGUUUUGUAAGUUGGAGGUGAAAUCCCCGGGCUCAACCUGGGAACUGACUACAAAACUGCAUGACUAGAGUACGGUAGAGGGUAGUGGAAUUUCCUGUGUAGCGGUGAAAUGCGUAGAUAUAGGAAGGAACACCAGUGGCGAAGGCGACUACCUGGACUGAUACUGACACUGAGGUGCGAAAGCGUGGGGAGCAAACAGGAUUAGAAACCCCGGUAGUCC
rnacentral:rRNA from 1 species